GCUCAGAGUGAACGCUGGCGGUAGGCCUAACACAUGCAAGUCGAACGGCAGCACAGUAAGAGCUUGCUCUUAUGGGUGGCGAGUGGCGGACGGGUGAGGAAUACAUCGGAAUCUACUUUUUCGUGGGGGAUAACGUAGGGAAACUUACGCUAAUACCGCAUACGACCUACGGGUGAAAGCAGGGGAUCUUCGGACCUUGCGCGAUUGAAUGAGCCGAUGUCGGAUUAGCUAGUUGGCGGGGUAAAGGCCCACCAAGGCGACGAUCCGUAGCUGGUCUGAGAGGAUGAUCAGCCACACUGGAACUGAGACACGGUCCAGACUCCUACGGGAGGCAGCAGUGGGGAAUAUUGGACAAUGGGCGCAAGCCUGAUCCAGCCAUACCGCGUGGGUGAAGAAGGCCUUCGGGUUGUAAAGCCCUUUUGUUGGGAAAGAAAUCCAGCCGGCUAAUACCUGGUUGGGAUGACGGUACCCAAAGAAUAAGCACCGGCUAACUUCGUGCCAGCAGCCGCGGUAAUACGAAGGGUGCAAGCGUUACUCGGAAUUACUGGGCGUAAAGCGUGCGUAGGUGGUUGUUUAAGUCUGUUGUGAAAGCCCUGGGCUCAACCUGGGAACUGCAGUGGAAACUGGGCAACUAGAGUGUGGUAGAGGGUAGCGGAAUUCCCGGUGUAGCAGUGAAAUGCGUAGAGAUCGGGAGGAACAUCCAUGGCGAAGGCAGCUACCNGGAC
rnacentral:rRNA from 1 species